GUGGUUGUGUGUGUAUUAUUGAAAGUAAAAAUAAACUAAAAGAAAACUGAAAGCAUAAAUCGCAUAACUGAAAGAUUUUUUUUUUUUUUGAAAAAUCUGAAAGGAGAAAUUGCAAAAGAGAGAAGAAGAAGAUAGAAAGAAAGGGAGGAGGAAGAAGAGAUAUGCACCCCCACACUUAAAUCAUGCAUUGUCCUCAAUGUAAAAGAAGAGAGAAAAAGAGAACAAAGGAAACUGAGUACUCCCCUGGGGUGUGGUGUGCAUGGCAUGAUCUCCUUAGGCAGAAUGAGUGACGAACAGAUGUUCAUCUGGGAAGGCUUCCUCAACUGGGCAAGGCGUAGAACUGGAGGGAAGCCGACUGAGGUGAUCAGCCACAAGAUUUUCCUUGCCUUUUUUGUCUCUUAUCUCCUGAUCAAAUUCUUGUAGGAGAAGAAUCCACCUAAUUAGUCUUGGCUUGGCUUCCUUUUUCUUGAUCAGAUAUUGCAGAGCUACAUGGUCAGAAUAGAUAAUGACUUUGGUACCCAAGAGGUAGGGUCUGAAUUUUUCCAAAGCAAACACAACUGCCAAGAGUUCUUUUUUAGUUGUUGUGUAAUUGCUUUAUGCAGCAUCCAGUGUGCGAGAGGCAUAGUGAAUGACGUGGGGUGAGUUUCCCACACGUUGCCCUAAGACUGCUCCCACUGCAUAAUUGCUUGCAUCACACAUGAUUUCAAAAGGCAAGUUCCAGUCAGGUCCUUGAAUAAUUGGGGCAGUCACAAGCAAUUCUUUAAUCAAGUCAAAUGCCUUUUUGCAGUCUGCAUCAAAAUCAAAGGUUACAUCCUGUUGGAGCAAUAUGCAUAAUGGCAAAGUGAUUUUUGAGAAAUCUUUGAUGAAUCUUCUGUAGAAUCCUGCAUGGCCAAGGAAUGAUCGGAUGUCUUUAACAGUUGUGGGAUAAGGCAGAUUUUUUAUGGUAUCCACCUUUGCUUUGUCCACUUCAAUGCCUUUAGCUGAAACAACAUGACCUAAGACCAUACCUUGAUUAACUAUAAAAUGGUAUUUUUCAUAAUUAAGCACAAGGUUAGUCUCAAUGCAUCUUUGCAAGAUCUUUUCUAAAUUGGUAAGGCAUUCAUCAAAAGAAUUUCCAUGAACUGUGAAGUCAUCCAUAAAUACCUCAAUUGUCUUACCCACAUAGUCAGAAAAUAUGCUCAUCAUGCACCGUUGAAAAGUGGCAGGUGCAUUGCAUAGUCCAAAUGGCAUUCUUCUAAAGGCAAAAGUGCCAAAGGGACAAGUGAAGGUGGUUUUCUCCUGGUCUUCUGGGGCAACUGGAAUUUGAUAGAAACCUGAAUAACCAUCGAGACAACAAUAGUGAGUUUUACCUGCAAGCCUUUCUAGCAUCUGAUCAAUGAAAGGCAAUGGGAAGUGGUCCUUCCUUGUUGCAGCAUUGAGCUUCCUAUAGUCCAUGCAUACUCUCCAUCCAUUUUGAACUCUAGUGGGAACAAGUUCUCCUUCAGCAUUUGGAACAAUGGUGAUCCCAGUUUUCUUUGGGACUACAUGCAAAGGACUCACCCCAUUUGCUAUCAGAGAUUGGGUAGAUGAUACCUGCAUCAAGGAGCUUGACUAUUUCUUCUUUUACUACUUCCAUCAUGGGUGGAUUCAGUCUUCUUUGAGCAUCUCGAACUGGCUUGCAUUCAUCUUCCAUGUGAAUUCUAUGCAUGCAUGUGGAAGGAGAAAUACCUUUUAUGUCAUCAAUGGUCCAUCCUAUGGCUCCUUUGUGUUUCUGCAGUACUUUCAGGAGGCUUGCUUCUUCAUGUUGGUUCAAUUCAUUGGACACUAUUACUGGUAGUGUCUUGUCAGCUCCUAAGUAUAUGUAUUUCAGAUGGCCUGGAAGAGGCUUCAAAUCUGAUUCUGAGAUUUUCUGAGAUGGAUUUCUGACUGAACUAGGCUCUCCUUUUUCCAUUUGUGCUUGGCUUGUCUGCGUUGGAUAGAGAGUGGGAGAGAUUUGAGAUUGGGACUGAGGUGAUGUGCUUGAAAGGCUUUCAGGUGCUUCUUCUUGCGCAGGAGUAUACUGAAAGGGAGGCGGAAUGGAGCUGUUUUGCGUGGGAGGCUGAAAGGAUGCGCCUAAGAGGUCUUCAGGUGCCUCUUUUUGCGCAAGAAGGGUCUGCACACCAUUCUGAAGUGGUGCAACUGAGUUUUCUCCAAUCUGCGCUUGACUGCAAACUAUCUGUUGGAUGCUACAAACCGUUUCCUUAGGUUUUGGCUCCUUCUUAAUCUGUACCUGAUCAGUAUCUCUGCAGAAAUCACUGUUAAGAAUAUCAUCUUGAUUUUCAUUAAAAAUUUCCUGGCUUAAGCAGUCAACAAUAUCAAGACCAUAAACAGGGGUUAUAUCAUAUGGAUAUUUCAUGGAAUCAUAGACAUUAUAUUUAAUGACUUUCCCCUCAAACUCCAUAGUGAGAGUACCAUCAUGCACAUCAAUCUUAGUUCUAGCAGUACUCAAGAAAGGACGUCCAAGAAGGAUAUCAGAACUAGUAUUAUAACUAUCUUCCUUAGUAUCAAUCACAUAAAAAUCAGCACGAAAGACUAGUUCUGUAACAGCCCGGACGUGAUCCCCGGCACUGUUACCGCUCACAGCCCGUGACCUUCCUCUGGGCCCAGCCACCGUGAGCAGCUCUUAACAUCCCUUCACCCUCACGGGUUCCAGGCAGGAUUUGUCCCCUUGGGUUCUCGUCAAACGCAUCCUUCCCCAAGUGGAUUUGGCCCAAAUUUCCCUUGGGAAAUUAGGUCGCCUCCCCCACUGCUCGAACCCUUGACCUCCCACUUUAAGGGAAUAGUCUGGUGAGAGUGCUUGACCUCCCACUUUAAGGGAAUAGUCUGGUGAGAGUGAGUACCAAUUGUUCCAAUGGCACAAUUGGUACUCACUCUCACCAGACUAUUCCCUUAAAGUGGGAGGUCAAGGGUUCGAGCAGUGGGGGAGGCGACCUAAUUUCCAAAGGGAAAUUUAGGCCAAAUCCACUUGGGGAAGGAUGCGUUUGACGAGAACCCAAGGGGACAAAUCCUGCCCGGAACCCGUGAGGGUGAAGGGAUGUUAAGAGCUGUUCACGGGGCCGGGGAUCACGUCCGGGCCGUGAACGGUAACAGUGCCGGGGAUCACGUCCGGGCUGUUACAAGUUCAUUUACUUGAACUAACACAUCUUCUAGAACACCUAUGGGAUAUACCACAGAUCUAUCAGCUAGUUGAAUCACAACUCUUGUUUCUUUUAGUGCACAUGCAUUGAGAGAUUUAUAAAUGGAGAGAGGCAUGACAUUUAUGGAUGCACCAAGAUCACACAUGGCUUUCCUUAUACCAACAUUCCCUAUCUUGCAAGAGAUAGCAAACAUACCUUUGUCUUUGCAUUUAGUAGGGAGUUCUCUUUUAAUAACAGCAGUCACAACCUCACCUACACUUACUUUUUCUCUCUCUGUAAGCUUUCUCCUAUUAGUGCAAAGUUCUUUCAGAAAUUUAGCGUACCUGGGAAUCUGCUUAACAGCAUCUAGCAGAGGUAUAUUGAUUUGUACUUUUCUGAAAGUGUCAAGGAUCUCCUUUUCUUCCUUUUCUUUUUGUGUUCUUUCAAAUCUCUUGGGAAAAGGAGGUGGAAUGUGAAAGCUUACCUUUGGGUCAGUCUUUUGCGCAUGAGGAGCUGCGGAUUGCGAUGGAGAGGCUUCAGGUGGCUUUGGUUCUUUUUCUUGCUCAUGAUUAGUAUCUCGAAGCUCUUUGCCACUUCUCAAAGUAAUAGCACUAACAUUCUGUCUGGGGUUGGUUUCAGUUUGAGAAGGGAGCUUACCUUGGGAUUGUAGUUGGCCUAUAGAGGUGGCCAUUUGGCUUAGGUCCUGUCGCACGCCUUGCAUAGAUGUGGUCAUUUGGCCCAGGUCUUGUCGCACGCCUUGCAUGGUGCUCACCAUUGUUUCCAUCAUUGUUUGCAUGAUCUUCUCAAGGUUCUGAUUUGGAGUUGAAGGUGCUGGUUGGGCUUGAUUUCUUUGGUAACUUUGGUAGUUCUGAUCACUGUUGCUCUUUCCAUAGCUAAAAUUGGGGUGAUCUUUCCAACCUGGAUUGUAUGUAUUGGAGUAUGGAUCAUAUCUAGGUUGGUUGUUGUACCUCCCAAUAGCAUUGACUUGGAGAUGAUCUUCUUGGAGAGCAGGACAUUGAUCAGUGGGGUGUCCUACAUGUAAGCAGAUCUCACAUGGCCUAGGAGGAUGGGGUGCUUGAAUCUGUUGCACUUGGCCAAGGGCGAUCUUUUCCACAAGAGAUGUUAGUUUUGAAAUUUGAGAUUCAACAGAGGAUGUUCUUACCUCAUAGAUUCCUCUUUGCGUUUGCCCUUCUUCUUCAUAUUGCUUAGAUGAAGCUGCAAGAUUGGAUAUUAGUUCCUUCAUCUCCCUUGGUGUCUUGUCUAAGAUAGAUCCUCCACAGGCUACAUUUAUGAGUUUCCUUUCUGAUGGAAUCAAUCCUCCAUAGAAGAACUGAAUGAGGCCUUUGUCUGACAUAUCAUGUUGUGGACAACCUGUACAUAGUCUUUCAAACCUUUCCCAAUAAUCAUAUAAGUCCUCAGUUGGUUUUUGCCUUAUGCUAGUGAUUUCUCUUAUUAUGCCAAUUGAUUUAGAUGGUGGAAAGUAUUUGUCCAAAAAGGCUUGGACCAUAUCAUCCCAAGAAGUUAUAAAUCCAGGUGUCAAAUAAAAUAACCAAUCCUUAGCAUGGUCAUCUAAUGAAAAAGGGAAGGCUCUUAGUUUAACAUGAUCUUCAGAGAUCCCUUGAGGUCUCAUGGAUGAGCAAAUAAUUUUAAAUUCUUUUAAGUGCUUAUGUGGAUUUUCAUUUUGCAAACCUCUAAAUUUAGGGAGAUGAUGAAUUAAAUAAUUUUAAAUUCUUUUAAGUGCGUAUGUGGAUUUUCAUUUUGCAAACCUCUAAAGCGCGGUCCGUGUGAAGAGUUUGGUUUGCGUGAGAGAGUGAUGAAGUGGGCCAUGUUCCAUGUGAGGUGAAAUGGUGGAGUGAAUUCGGCGGGGCCCAUGUGCAUGUGUUUGGUGCUUGGGCAGUUUGGAGACGGCGCGGGCCCACGUGAGGAGCUUGGAAGUGCUGGUCAUGUGCGACCGGGCCCGUUGCGUGAAUUGAUGAGAUGAAUUGAGGAGCUCGAUCCACGUGAAUUGGUCCAUGCGAAGCCCAUCUGCCGAGUGGUCCAUGGUGAAGGAGUGCGCGGAUGCGUGAAUUCGGUGGAAGCAUGCAUUUGUGGGCCAUGUGCUGGACUUUGCGGGUCCAUGAUGAAGUGGGCGAAGUGGCGGGUCCAUCUGCGCGUUUGGGGCUGGUCCAUAAGCAUCCAUGGGCUGCUAUGUGCAGGCCCAAGUGUCCUUUUGCUGCCCAAUUAUUUUUUGGCUCUAAAUAAGGCAGUUUUAGGGGGUUUUUCUCCAAAUUGUCCUUUUACACUAUUUUCUGCAAAAUAAUAUUAAAAGCAAUAAAUUAAGCAGAAAUCAUGUAAAUAUUCAUUAAUAAUAUUAAUAUAAAAUGGACUAAAUUAUGCUCUAUCAUCUGUAUCUAGAGCUUACCCUGAAAAAGGCAAUAGCUCCAAGAAUUUAUCCGUGUACUCCUCUACACUCAUGUGUUCUGUCUGCCUCAGCUGCUCAAACUCAAUCAUCUUCAGUUCUCUAGAACUGUCUGGAAAAGCCCAUCCAGCAAACUCAUUUGCAAAUUCCUCCCAUGUCAUGCCGUCUAGUCUUGGGUCCACAUAACACUUGAACCAUUCCCGUGCCUUUUUGCACUUUAAAGUGAACCCUGCCAUCUGAAUGGCCCUGCUGUCAUCUACCCCUAGCUCAUCAGUUAUCAUCUUCACUACCCUCAGGUACUCAAAGGGAUCGUCCCCUGAUUUGUACUUGGGAGCAUCCAGUUUAAGGUAAUCUGUCAUCUUCACCUUGCUCCCACCGGCUGAGCUAGGUCUAGAAGGUUGAGCAACUGGGGCUGCUGGUUCUGUAGGUAGUGGAGGUGGGGGUGCAGCAUUUCCCUAAGUGGGGUUUGCUGGGUUAGGAUAGAAGGGUGAGGGUGGAUAAGCUGGGUACUGUGGGUAAGGUGGAUAGAAAGGUGGAUAAGGCAUGUAGGUAGGGUAGGGGUUAAAGCUGGAGUAAUCCGAUGUGCCUCCCAUCGGAUACCCUGAACCCUGUGGGAAGGGUGGAUAAUGGGGUGGAAAACCAUACCCCGAGGCCUGAACGCCUCCCUGUGACUCCCCUGUCCCUUCUUCCGAUAUGCUGACAUCCAGAUUCCCAUCCCUCCUCUGAUCCUCUUCCAUAACCUCCCUCACAUCAUAAGAACUUCCUCCUCUAUCUGUCCCCCUUCUGCUAGCAUCAAAAGACCUUCUAGGGUCCCUUGACACUCUUUCUCUGCUUGAUCUACAUGACAUUGCCCUAGGCAAUGCAGGAGGACGGGCAUCAGUGCCCUCAUCCUGGGGUGGUACUCCAGUGAAUCGUGCAGAUCGAUGAGUUCCUCUCAUCCUGUUUUCUGAAAAACAGUACACAACACUAAAAACAUCAGCAUCAUAUGGUUCAUGUGGAAACACAUGAACCUGCAUCACAUACAUCGCAUACAUAGCAUAUCAUUAAUGCACAUGCAUAAAAUCAUGGCAUUUCACAUCAUCAUACAAGACAGGACUCAACAUCCUAUCCUAGUGGACAUGAUCUUCCUAUUGUGCUUGACCUUCUAGAACAUCUAUGAGCCCGACACUCUAGGUCCGAUCAUAUGAACCUAGGGCUCUGAUACCACUUUGUAAUGAUCCGGAAACCGGACCGCUACCGGCGCUAGGGUCCAGAUCGACUUAAGGCCGCAGGGACCCGUAGCAAGCCUAACAUUCAUCCUGUGAACUUGUUUAAUCCCAUACAUGAUCAACGACAUACAUAAAAAUUUCAAACUUUUCCUUUUUCAUCCAUCAACCAAACUCAACCUGUGCAUGCACCAUACAUAAUCAUGAACAGUAACCCACCUUGGAGUCCUCAUCAAUGCUCCGAUGGGGUGACAUAACAUGCCUCAAGUUUGGUUAAACAUAACUAUCAAUAAAAAGGUCAUGUACUCAUGAAGGGAUUACAACGUACUAUGGUCAAGCACCACUCUAUCCUUAAGAACAUCAUUACAUUACAUUUCUAUACUGUACUGAUACAUUACAUCAUAUUCAUGUCCAUUUCUAACUAAUACAAUAACAUAACUCUACCCCUGCUGACUUCCUGGUCUACCCUGUACCUGCAAACCUGGGGGUUAAGGGAGAGGGGUGAGCUAUAAAGCCCAGUGAGCAGAAUAAUAAAAACAUUAUAUUAAUAUUUCAUGCUUUCAUGGAAUGCAUCACAUCACAAACAUAUCACAUCAAGGAUGAACUUGUCACUAGUAGCCCUCUACAUAUCCAAUAGUGCCAGAACGUAGAAUGGGUCCUGGUCUUUCUCUUACAUAGCAUAACAUAACAUUCCAAUGUGCCAGAACGUAGAAUGGGUCAUGGUCUUUCUCUUACAUAGUGCCAGCGAACAUAGAAUGGGUCCUACUGGUCUUUCAUUCCAUACCGUACAUGUCAUAUCAUCACAUCAUAGGUCGAGGGCUAUGGAUCAUCCAACAUUCAUCCACAUCAACAACAAAAUAUGCAAUGCAACAUAUUCGUGAAUUCUAAUGCAACAACCUAGUAUAUCUCAUGGUAUUAAUGAUGCGUGAAUCAUGCUAAAAUGUCCAUUAUUUGCUUUAAAACGUAAUGAGUUAUUCCACUCACCUCUGGAUAGCUCUGACCAGACACUGGAGCAGCUGACUCACUGCUGGGGUCCUCGGUUCCUCGGGUCCGAACCUACACAAGUGGACUCAAAUGAGGGACCAAACAUACAUGAACAUAACUCUAAACUACUCCCCAAAAACCCCCUAGAACAUCAUGAAACAACCAUAGAAAAACAUGCAAAGGAGGGCUGGACAGGGCACUUUCGGCGGCAGGUUCGGCGGCCGAAAGUCCCUCCAGAGCCGAAAGUCAGGCAGGUUCGGCGGCACCUUCGGCGGCCGAAACUCCCAGACAGAGACGAAACUCAUGCAUGUUCGGUGGCACUUUCGGCGGCCGAAACUGCCCUCCAGAGACGAAAGUCCACUUUCGGGGGCAGGCUUCAGCAGCCGAAGGCUGCCUCCACAAGCGGGUUCGGCGGCUGAAAGUUCCUUCGGCGGCCGAACCUGAGUUUCCCCAAAGUGGUAGAAACUCAGCUCCAACAUGCACAAACGCCUCCCAAACCUUUCAAACAUGCAUAAACCUAUUCUACAACACUCCCAAACAUACACAAUCAGGCAUACAAGUUCAUAGGGGUCUCAAACUAGCCUAAAGCCCAACUACAACACAUCAAACAUACCCACAUUGCUCAUAAACACACAUUAAACCCAUAAACUCAAAACAACCUAAACAUGCAUUUCUACUCCAUAAACUUGCAUAAAACUUGUUUAAAACACAUCAUAAGCUAGAGAUCGACUCUUACCUCUUGAAGAUCGAGAGUAGAGGCGAUCUAACUUGGAGUUGGGAGAGAUUUUAACUCCUUGGGUCUCCAAGCUCAAAAACUUAUUUUUUUGCUCAAAUACCUUCAAAUCGACAUAAAACUUGUUAAAACAUGAAAGAUCGGAAGGAAAAGCAUUGGAAACAACCUUAGGAGAGCAUGAACUCAUUGUGGCCGAAAAUGGGGAGAAAACCUCGCCCGUUUUGGCCAUUGAGCUCUUAUAUAGGGGUUGCCAGACUACCUUUCGGCAGCCGAACGUGCCCCCACAUCUCAUGCAUGUUCGGCGGCCGAACAUGAGGUUCGGCGGCCGAACAUGAGGUUCGGCGGCCGAACCUUUGAAAUAUUCGGAAGCCUAACUUGCCCUCCAAAACCAUCCAAUGUUCGGCGGCCGAACCUGGAAAUGUCUCCUUGGUCUUUUCAUACAAAACUCAAACUCCUUUUUACUUAAAACCAUUAAAAUACAUGAAAACAUUUUAUGAAAACAUGCUUUUACCCUUCUAGAGGUUUUCGACAUCCAAAUUCUAUCGGACGGUAGAAAUUCCGAUACCAGAGUCCAGCUGGGUAUUACAGGCAGGUUCGGCGGCCAAAAGGCUGCCUCCCAUGCAGGUUCGGCGGCCGAACCCUACUUCAGAGGCCGAACCUGGGUUCUCCAGGAUGGCAGAACCCGAUUCUGCCCUAUGCAUUUCAGCCCCAAAAUUCUCAAAUCCUCACACCCAACUUCCCACAACAUGCAUACUCACUCCAACAUGCAUAAAGGGUAUAAAAACUAGCCUAAAACCCCAACAAACAACAACAAAACACAAGAGAGAGCAUACACUCAUCAAAACCCAACUCAAAGCCUAUAACCUUGGAUCUAGCCAUAUCAUGCAUUUUUAACCCUUAACCCUUUUUAAAACUUACUUAAAAUAUAUAAAAAGGCAAGGAUCUACACUUACCUCUUGAAUAUCUAAGGUAGAUGCGACCCAAGCUUGGAGUUGAGGAAAACGGUCUCCCAAACUUUAAAGUCUUUGAUCCAAGCUCAGAACUUCAAAAAUAAGUGAAAACUCAUGAAAAUUUGAAAGAAAAAUAUAAAAUCAUCAAAGGAAUGGCAAGAAUUCACCUUUGUCCGAAAAUGGAGAGAGAAACUCCCCCAUCUUCGGACUGGAGGCCUCUUAUAAGUGGCUGGCCAGACCACUUUCGGGGGGCAAAAGAGAGCUCCCGCAGCAGCACCAUGUUCGGCGGCCGAACAUGAGGUUCGAUGAUCGAACCUAGUGUAAUACCCGGC
rnacentral:lncRNA from 1 species